GGGCCGGGCGCAGGAGCUCAUGCCUAUAAUCCCAGCACUUUGGGAGGGUGAGGCGGUCGGAUCACCGGAGGUUAGGAGUUUGAGACCAGCCUGGCCAACAUAGUGAAACCCCGUCUCUA